UACGAAGGGGGCUAGCGUUGCUCGGAAUUACUGGGCGUAAAGCGCGUGUAGGCGGUCUGAAUAGUCUGCUGUGAAAGCGCCUGGCUUAACCGGGCGAGGUCGGCGGAAACUCUCAGACUGGAGGCCGGUAGGAGGGGGGUGGAAUUCCCGGUGUAGCAGUGAAAUGCGUAGAGAUCGGGAGGAACACCAGUGGCGAAGGCGGCUACCUGGACCAGCAUUGACACUCAAGCACGAAAGCGUGGGGAGCAAACAGG
rnacentral:rRNA from 1 species